GGCGCUGCUGUUCCCCGCGCGCCAGGGAGACGAGCCGCCCCCUCCCUGCCUCCCGGAAGCUCAGAUGCUGGGCAAGAAAUGCAUUUUGACCUUAUUCAGGAAGAAUAUCAAGUAUUUAGGGAAAAGUAUUCAGAACUAUCAGUAUUUUUUUAUAUACAAUGCAAGAGAAGUAUUGAUAGACUCUUCUCUUUAAAUACAACUGAACAUAAUGUGAUUUAUUUCCAAGAGUUGAUCUUUUAAUUUUUUUUUUUAUGCAGUUCAGAGUGAAGCAAUGACAGUAAAACUGCUGGGAUUCGUGGCUAGAUGUUCCCAUGUGUUAAUGAAAAUAUGUGAGUGCCAAGGCCUUCAUAAACCUAGGCAUCCAGUGUUAAAACUAAGCAAUGAUGUUGUCAGGGCAUCAUUCAGAACUCUAGCACCAAACAAAGUCUUGAACUUGUGCGCUCCUGAAACUGCUACCUGUUGCUUGACAAAUCUGCGUGAACGACUCAAGAAUUGGCAAAUGUCAGAAGCAAAGAUUGUGAAUUACCAGAUCGGAGAAGUUUAUCCUCCAUUCAGGGACCAUUUUGAUGCUCUAAGGACUGUGAACUACAAGCAUGGACUAAGUAGUGUUAGAAAGUUUAUGAAAAUGCCAACAAGAUCUUAUUCAGUUGUAUCAACUGGUAAAAUACUGCCAAAACAAAGUAUUCUGCCAAUUAAGAGACCACCGAAGGCACCUAGGACCAAACAGCCAUCCAGAGCUAACCAGCCACUAGUGUCAGAAACUGAGGAUCUGAUGCAGUGUACAGCCUUCGCAACAGCAGAUGAAUAUCAUCUUGGUAAUCUGUGUCAUGACCUGACUUCAUAUGGAUAUGUUGAAAUAACAAGUUUGCCUAGAGAUGCAGCAAAUGUUUUAGUGAUUGGCACGGAAAACGCUGCAAAAGAAUAUGAUCCUGGUAUGAUCUAUUUCUUCAGGGAAGGGUCUGUUGUGUUUUGGAAUGUGGAAGAGAAAACGAUGAAGAAAAUAAUGCAAGUGCUGGAGCGGCAUGAAAUUCAGCCUUAUGAAGUUGCACUGGUUCAUUGGGAGAAUGAAGAAAUUAACUACAGGAGAGGAGAAGGCCAGUCAAAGCUCCACAGAGGAGAAAUCUUGUUAAAUUCUGACCUGGAUAUUGAUGAAGUAAUUCUGCAGAAAUUUGCCUUUUCAAAUGCUCUUUGCCUUUCUGUAAAACUGGCCAUUUGGGAAUCAUCCUUGGAUAAUUUUGUGGAAUCUAUCCAAUCAAUUCCUGAGAUAUUAAAAUCAAGAAAAAAAGUGAAACUCUCUCAUGCUGAUGUAAUGCAGAAAAUUGGGGAACUCUUUGCCUUACGGCACUGUAUAAAUCUGAGUUCAGACCUGCUGAUAACUCCUGACUUCUACUGGGACAGAGAAAACCUUGAAGAGCUUUAUGACAAAACCUGUCAGUUUCUCAGCAUUAAUCGCAGAGUUAAGGAUGGAUCCUGCACUGCUCUCUACUGUUGUGGUCACUGUUAUGAACACAUUGCGGCUGGUCAUUCAGUAUAUCAUGAACAGGAAUCAGAGGUGCCUGACGUGCUGUGUGCCAUGGAAAGAAACAACAUCAGAUUACUUUUGGCAUUCACAGAGCAGCUGCACACGGUGACUGUUGCUUUUGGCCUUGGGAAACAAGCACUGAGUGUUAGGAUCACAUCAUUAUGCAGGUCUGGGAUGACAAGCAGUAGCUGCAGAACUUUCGGAUGUGGAAAGCAACCUGGAACUGUACGUGGAGCUCGCCCCAGCACUGCGGCACAAGGACACCAAAAUGAGAGCUGCCCUCUCGGUGGAGAAGUGCAUGGCAAUUGCUGUGUGGAAGCUGGUAACUCCAGACUGCUACCAGAUGGUCACGAAUCAGUUUGAAGUCGGUAAUGAAUGAGAAACUUCAGCACUGCAUGGAGCUGACAGACCUGAUGCGAAAUCACCUGAAUGAAAAACGUGCCCUGCGCUUGGAAUGGAUGAUAGUCAUACUCAUCACUAUAGAGGUCAUGUUUGAACUUGCCCG